GGUCGAAUCGUAUAAUGGUUAGUACAUAUCCUUCACACGGAUAAGACCCGGGUUCAAUUCCCGGUUUGACCU
rnacentral:tRNA from 1 species